rnacentral:rRNA from 1 species
UAGGGAAUAUUGCACAAUGGGCGAAAGCCUGAUGCAGCAACGCCGCGUGUGCGAUGAAGGCCUUCGGGUCGUAAAGCACUUUUCUGAGAGAUGAGAAAGGACAGUAUCUCAGGAAUAAGUCUCGGCUAACUACGUGCCAGCAGCCGCGGUAAAACGUAGGAGGCGAGCGUUAUCCGGAUUCACUGGGCGUAAAGCGCGUGCAGGCGGUUCGAUAAGUUGGAUAUGAAAUCUCCUGGCUUAACUGGGAGAGGUUAUUCAAUACUACCGGACUAGAGAGUGGUAGAGGAAGAUGGAAUUCCAGGUGUAGUGGUGAAAUGCGUAGAUAUCUGGAGGAACACCAGUGGCGAAAGCGAUCUUCUGGACCAUUUCUGACGCUCAGACGCGAAAGCUAGGGUAGUAAACGG